rnacentral:rRNA from 1 species
GAUGAACGCUAGCGGGAGGCUUAAUACAUGCAAGUCGAACGGUAACAGCGGACUUCGGUCUGGCUGACGAGUGGCGCACGGGUGAGUAACGCGUACACGACCUACCUAUAAGAGGGGGAUAGGCUUUGGAAACGAAGAUUAAUACCCCAUAGAAUUAACUGUAUUAGAAGUGGUUAAUUAAAGCUCCGGCGCUUAUAGAUGGGUGUGCGUUCCAUUAGCUAGUUGGUAAGGUAACGGCUUACCAAGGCGACGAUGGGUAGGGGGCGUGAGAGCGUGAUCCCCCACACGGGUACUGAGACACGGACCCGACUCCUACGGGAGGCAGCAGUAAGGAAUAUUGGACAAUGGGCGCAAGCCUGAUCCAGCCAUCCCGCGUGCAGGAUGACGGCCCUAUGGGUUGUAAACUGCUUUUGUUAGGGAAGAAUCGCACCGACGUGUCGGUGUUUGACGGUACCUAAAGAAUAAGCACCGGCUAACUCCG